GAUAUACUCCCCCCGUCCGCAAUUACUUGUCACAGAAAUGGAUGAAAAUUGAUGUAUCUAUAACUAAAAUAUGUCUAGAUACAUCAAUUUCUAUAACAAGUAUUUUUGAACGGAGGGAGUAUAAU
rfam:Triticum aestivum genome assembly, contig: Triticum_aestivum_CS42_TGACv1_scaffold_129644_2BL